rnacentral:rRNA from 1 species
GGGUGGUAAUGCCGGAUGCUCCAUCACACCGCAUGGUGUGUUGGGAAAGCCUUUGCGGCAUGGGAUGGGGUCGCGUCCUAUCAGCUUGAUGGCGGGGUAACGGCCCACCAUGGCUUCGACGGGUAGCCGGCCUGAGAGGGCGACCGGCCACAUUGGGACUGAGAUACGGCCCAGACUCCUACGGGAGGCAGCAGUGGGGAAUAUUGCACAAUGGGCGCAAGCCUGAUGCAGCGACGCCGCGUGAGGGAUGGAGGCCUUCGGGUUGUAAACCUCUUUUGUUAGGGAGCAAGGCACUUUGUGUUGAGUGUACCUUUCGAAUAAGCACCGGCUAACUACGUGCCAGCAGCCGCGGUAAUACGUAGGGUGCAAGCGUUAUCCGGAAUUAUUGGGCGUAAAGGGCUCGUAGGCGGUUCGUCGCGUCCGGUGUGAAAGUCCAUCGCUUAACGGUGGAUCCGCGCCGGGUACGGGCGGGCUUGAGUGCGGUAGGGGAGACUGGAAUUCCCGGUGUAACGGUGGAAUGUGUAGAUAUCGGAAA